AAGUCGUGAUGUGGAUACUUGCGCAAUAAGUUUUUGUAUCUCUCUCACGCCUCAUACAAUGAUUCACCCUCAAAUUGGGUGAAGCUAGUAAUAUCAUUCCUUAAUUU